rnacentral:rRNA from 1 species
UGGCGGCAGCCUAACCAUGCAAGUCGAACGGACCCUUCGGGGUUAGUGGCGGACGGGUGAGUAACACGUGGGAACGUGCCUUUAGGUUCGGAAUAGCUCCUGGAAACGGGUGGUAAUGCCGAAUGUGCCCUUCGGGGGAAAGAUUUAUCGCCUUUAGAGCGGCCCGCGUCUGAUUAGCUAGUUGGUGGGGUAAUGGCCCACCAAGGCUACGAUCAGUAGCUGGUCUGAGAGGAUGACCAGCCACAUUGGGACUGAGACACGGCCCAAACUCCUACGGGAGGCAGCAGUGGGGAAUCUUGCGCAAUGGGCGAAAGCCUGACGCAGCCAUGCCGCGUGUAUGAUGAAGGUCUUAGGAUUGUAAAAUACUUUCACCGGUGAAGAUAAUGACUGUAGCCGGAGAAGAAGCCCCGGCUAACUUCGUGCCAGCAGCCGCGGUAAUACGAAGGGGGCUAGCGUUGCUCGGAAUUACUGGGCGUAAAGGGAGCGUAGGCGGACAUUUAAGUCAGAGGUGAAAUCCCGGAGCUUAACUUCGGAACUGCCUUUGAUACUGGGUGUCUUGAGUGUGAGAGAGGUAUGUGGAACUCCGAGUGUAGAGGUGAAAUUCGUAG